GAAAGGGGCGUGCAGAGCUUCGGCUCGACUCUCCCACCCUUUGUGAACGUACCUCUGUUGCUUUGGCGGCUCCGGCCGCCAAAGGACCUUCAAACUCCAGUCAGUAAACGCAGACGUCUGAUAAACAAGUUAAUAAACUAAAACUUUCAACAACGGAUCUCUUGGUUCUGGCAUCGAUGAAGAACGCAGCGAAAUGCGAUAAGUAAUGUGAAUUGCAGAAUUCAGUGAAUCAUCGAAUCUUUGAACGCACAUUGCGCCCCUUGGUAUUCCGGGGGGCAUGCCUGUUCGAGCGUCAUUACAACCCUCAAGCUCUGCUUGGAAUUGGGCACCGUCCUCACUGCGGACGCGCCUCAAAGACCUCGGCGGUGGCUGUUCAGCCCUCAAGCGUAGUAGAAUACACCUCGCUUUGGAGCGGUUGGCGUCGCCCGCCGGACGAACCUUCUGAACUUUUCUCAAGGUUGACCUCGGAUCAGGUAGGGAUACCCGCUGAACUUAAGCAUAUCAAUAAGCGGAGGAA
rnacentral:rRNA from 1 species